GACGAACGCUGGCGGCGUGCUUAACACAUGCCAGUCGAACGGUGAAGCGCCUUCCUUUUUGGUGGGUGUGGAUGAGUGGCGAACGGGUGAGUAACACGUGAGUAACCUGCCCCCUUCUUCUGGAUAACCGCAUGAAAGUGUGGCUAAUACGGGAUAUUCUGGGUCUGUCGCAUGAUGGGUCUGGGAAAGAUAUUGUUUCGGUGGGGGAUGGGCUCGCGGCCUAUCAGCUUGUUGGUGGGGUGAUGGCCUACCAAGGCGGUGACGGGUAGCCGGCCUGAGAGGGUGGACGGUCACACUGGGACUGAGAGACAGCCCGGACUCCUACGAGAGGCAGCAGUGGGGAAUAUUGCACAAUGGGCGCAAGGCUGAUGCAGCGACGCCGCGUGAGGGAUGGAGGCCUUCGGGUUGUGAACCUCUUUCGCCAGUGAAGCAGGCCUGCCUCGUUUGUGGGUGGGUUGACGGUAGCUGGAUAAGAAGCGCCGGCUAACUACGUG
rnacentral:rRNA from 1 species